UACGGAGGGGGCUAGCGUUGUUCGGAAUUACUGGGCGUAAAGCGCACGUAGGCGGCUUUGUAAGUUAGAGGUGAAAGCCCCCGGCUUAACCGGGGAGGGUCGUUGGGGACGGCGGGGCUUGAGGGCGGGAGAGGGUGGUGGAAUUCCCGGUGUAGUGGUGAAAUGCGUAGAGAUCGGGAGGAGCACCCGUGGCGAAGGCGGCCACCUGGGCCGACCCUGACGCUGAGGCGCGAAGGCGUGGGGAGCGAACGGG
rnacentral:rRNA from 1 species